AACUAACGCUGGCGGCGUGCCUAACACAUGCAAGUCGUACGAGAAAGCCGGCUUCGGCUGGUGAGUAAAGUGGCGCACGGGUGAGUAACGCGUGGAUAAUCUGCCCUUAAGUGUGGAAUAACGUACCGAAAGGUGCGCUAAUACCGCAUAAUGCCUGGCAACACAAGUUGUCCGGCCAAAGAAGGCCUCUGUUUACAAGCUUUCGCUUCAGGAUGAGUCCGCGUACCAUUAGCUUGUUGGUGGGGGUAAUGGCCUACCAAGGCUGCGAUGGUUAGCUGGUCUGAGAGGAUGAUCAGCCACACUGGAACUGAGACACGGUCCAGACUCCUACGGGAGGCAGCAGUGAGGAAUAUUGCGCAAUGGGGGCAACCCUGACGCAGCAACGCCGCGUGAGUGAGGAAGGUUUUCGGACUGUAAAGCUCUGUCGAAGCGGGAAGAAGUGUACCAUGGCUAAUAUCCAUGAUAUUUGACGGGUACCCGUA
rnacentral:rRNA from 1 species